rnacentral:rRNA from 1 species
UGCCGGCGGCCGGCGGACGGGUGCGUAACGCGUAUGUAACCUACCUUUGACAGGGGGAUAACAUCGAGAAAUUGGUACUAAUACCCCAUAACAUCACCGGAGGCAUCUUCGGUGGUUGAAAACUCAGGUGGUCAGAGUUGGACAUGCGUUGUAUUAGCUAGUUGGUGAGGUAACGGCUCACCAAGGCGACGAUACAUAGGGGGACUGAGAGGUCAACCCCCCACAUCGGUACUGAGACACGGACCAAACUCCUACGGAAGGCAGCAG